GUAGGUGGCAAGCGUUGUCCGGAAUUAUUGGGCGUAAAGCGCGCGCAGGCGGUCCUUUAAGUCUGAUGUGAAAGCCCACGGGCUCAACCGUGGAGGGUCAUUGGAAACUGGGGGACUUGAGUACAGAAGAGGAAAGCGGAAUUCCAAGUGUAGCGGUGAAAUGCGUAGAGAUUUGGAGGAACACCAGUGGCGAAGGCGGCUUUCUGGUCUGUAACUGACGCUGAGGCGCGAAAGCGUGGGGAGCAAACAGGAUUAGAUACCCUGGUAGUCCACGCCGUAAACGAUGAGUGCUAAGUGUUAGGGAGUUUCCGCCCCUUAGUGCUGCAGCUAACGCAUUAAGCACUCCGCCUGGGGAGUACGGCCGCAAAGGCUG
rnacentral:rRNA from 1 species